AGGAUCAAAAGGAUGAAUUAUGUGGUAACCAUGUACAUGGAUUAUGGAAUAUUUCUUUACAAUAAUUCGAGCUAUCUGGACAUCGAAAAUUAUUGCUAGAUUGUAUUUUGAUUAGUACAAGAAUCAGUUCCUAUGCUACUGGCUUAGUGUUUGAACCUGAGUCACACACACAAGUCAAACAUCAUAGGAAAGUAUUGGCUUAUGUUUAUGUGUCCAAUUUGGAGGUGCUUGACUUGAUUGAAUAUAUAAGCUAACUUGAUUGAGAAUUAAGUUAUGGAUCAAAUG
rnacentral:lncRNA from 1 species